ACUCUCUACCCUGUUACCUGGAACCUGUACUCAACUGCCUGGCCUCCUCCUCCUUCUGAGAUUGUUGACUUUUUGGCCUAACCCUUUUGAAUAAGUUUGCCUGUUUGGGCUGCCUAGGAGUGUCAGCAGCUUGACCUUUCUCACCUGAGCUGUCCAGGCUAUCAAAGCUGUUCCAUGUGCUCCCUCAUCUCUCCCUUCCUACAGCUGGCAUUCACCCUGCAUCAUCGCCUCAUGGUUUUGCACCACAACACCUCCACAGACGUCCAUGCACUGCUUUCAUUGCUGAUCUACCCACCUAAUUGUUUGUUUUGUGCCAACCUUAUUCCAAAACAAAUUUUCAAGGAAACAAGACCAUCCAUAGUGUCUACAAGUCUCAGGAAGGCCUGCAGCAGUGUAACAUCUCUGGAGCUGGAGAAUCACUGGGAAGCUGGCUGGCUGUCAGAGUAUUCCCACCAACAGCACUAGAGCCACCAAGAAAACACUGACAGCAGUGCAGAGCAGCAGAGGGAGGUGAAGGCCACGAUGAGGCUCUUCACCAGCUGCUGGAAAGAAGAAAAUGGCAUUCUUUAUUUUACAGGGUCCUGUUGACGUUGACCAGGAAGCAGCACAUGUUUUAACAUCACCUCCGAUCCUCCUCACCACUCUCCAUCCAGUCAGUCCCUCCAGA